UACGAAGGGGGCUAGCGUUGCUCGGAAUCACUGGGCGUAAAGGGUGCGUAGGCGGGUCUUUAAGUCAGGGGUGAAAUCCUGGAGCUCAACUCCAGAACUGCCUUUGAUACUGAGGAUCUUGGGUACGGGAGAGGUGAGUGGAACUGCGAGUGUAGAGGUGAAAUUCGUAGAUAUUCGGAAGAACACCAGUGGCGAAGGCGGCUCACUGGUCCGGUACUGACGCUGAGGUGCGAAAGCGUGGGGAGCAAACAGG
rnacentral:rRNA from 1 species